rnacentral:rRNA from 1 species
UACAGAGGUCUCAACCGUUGUUCGGAUUCAUUGGGCGUAAAGGGUGCGUAGGCGGUCGCGCAAGUCGGAUGUGAAAUCUCAGGGCUCAACCCUGAAACUGCAUUCGAUACUGCGUGGCUCGAGUGCUGGAGAGGAGACUGGAAUUUACGGUGUAGCAGUGAAAUGCGUAGAUAUCGUAAGGAAGACCAGUGGCGAAGGCGAGUCUCUGGACAGUUACUGACGCUGAGGCACGAAGGCCAGGGGAGCAAACGGG